UACGUAGGGUGCAAGCGUUAAUCGGAAUUACUGGGCGUAAAGCGUGCGCAGGCGGUUUUGUAAGUCUGACGUGAAAUCCCCCGGGCUCAACCUGGGAAUUGCGUUGGAGACUGCAAGGCUAGAAUCUGGCAGAGGGGGGUAGAAUUCCACGUGUAGCAGUGAAAUGCGUAGAGAUGUGGAGGAACACCGAUGGCGAAGGCAGCCCCCCUGGGCCAAUACUGACGCUCAUGCACGAAAGCGUGGGGAGCAAACAGG
rnacentral:rRNA from 1 species